ensembl:lncRNA
UGGAUACCUUCCAUACAUAUAUUUAUUUAUCAUCUUUCACCCCAUCAGCAAGUUAGUGUGAAAGAUCUUGCUUUUACUGUCUGGAGGCUGAUUUACCAUAGAGGAAACCUAUAUCAUCAAUUGCUAACUGGGGAUUAUAAGAAGAGCUGCAAACAACUAGUGGAAGAAAAAAAGAAUCAAAUACACCAUAUAGAUGAAGAGCAAUCCAUUUAUCUAUACGGAGUAUGA